GGAGAAUCUAAGACUUCUGAAGAGUUUCUUGCUUCUUUCCUGUGGGGCAGUGACUCCACUUCCCAGCAGUAAUGGAAUAUCCUGAAUUAGCUACAUUAAUGUUAGAACCAUUUGGACCUCACCCAGGACUUCAACUACAUUAUGCUAAAGUUACAGAACCCAAAUUUGGCAACUGUCUGCAUCUGAACAACAGAAGUUUCAACAUUCUGCCAACAGAGUAACUCCUGGACGAUUGGCACAGAAGGCACAAGGCAAAUACCUAUCUCUGUACACCCUGUGCUACUGUGUCAUGUGCUGCUCCAGGCAACUCCAAUGGAUUGGCCACCCUGGCCAAUGUGCCCUCCAAACACCAGCACUGAGUAGAAAGAGGCUCUGAUUCAUGAAAUGUGAAUUUAUGACAGUUGCCACUCUUAAAAAAAAAACAAACAGACAGAACUUGAGCAAUACAUGACUGAUGCAUUCUCAGCCUGCUUCCUGUGUUCCAUCUGUCUUUCUGCCAGUGCAUUCACCCUCCAGGUUCUAGUAUGUUAGGUUUAUGUUCCCCUGCUUUCUACAAUCCUGUUCAAAGAGUUGCUGACUUAACCACAGAGAGGAUUCCAGAACAUGAGACACAGAAUAAACUUGAGCAAUCAUAGUCCAUCCACUUCAUUUUCUCAUCAAAAACCAAAGGUCCAGUGAAGCUCUGGAACUCAACGCUGUAAAGGAGCGAAGGAGCUUCUAUACAGAGCCUGGAUGCCUGUCUCCUUAUCCUACUUCAGUGGACUUGACUGCAAUCCGGACUAUGCUGUUUUCUAAGCAUUUAAAAUAAAA
rnacentral:antisense_RNA from 1 species